rnacentral:rRNA from 1 species
GCUCGUAGUUGGUUCUGCGUGCCGCGCUGUCGGUUCGCCGCCUGUCGGUGUAACUGGCAUGUCGCGGCAUGUCCUGUCGGUGGUGAACGGAGUCCACGACGCUACAUGGGCUUUAUAGUCGAUGUUAGCAUCGUGUGUACUUCCGUUGGCCGAUCUCUCCUACUUCGGUGCUCUUAAACGAGUGUCGAGGUAGGCCGACACGUUCACUUUGAACAAAUUAGAGUGCUUAAAGCAGGCUGAAAUAUCUGCCUGAAUAGUGGUGCAUGGAAUGAUAAAACAGGACCUCGGUUCUAUUUUGUUGGUUUUAGGAAUAUGAGGUAAUGAUCAAUGUGGACUGGCGGGGGCAUUCGUAUUGCGACGUUAGAGGUGAAAUUCUUGGAUCGUCGCAAGACGCACUAGAGCGAAAGCAUUUGCCAAGUAUGUCUUAAUUGAUCAAGAACGAAAGUUAGAGGUUCGAAGGCGAUCAGAUACCGCCCUAGUUCUAACCAUAAACGAU